AAUGGGGGAAACCCUGACGCAGCAACGCCGCGUGAGUGAUGAAGGCUUUCGGGUCGUAAAGCUCUGUCGGGUGGGAAGAACCAGUAAUAGUUAAUAGCUAUUGCCUUGACGGUACCACCAAAGGAAGCACCGGCUAACUCCGUGCCAGCAGCCGCGGUAAUACGGGGGGUGCAAGCGUUAUUCGGAAUUAUUGGGCGUAAAGGGUGCGUAGGCGGUUUUGUAAGUCAGAUGUGAAAUACCGGGGCUUAACUUCGGAACUGCAUAUGAUACUGCAAGACUUGAGUAUGGGAGAGGGAAGCGGAAUUCCUGGUGUAGAGGUGAAAUUCGUAGAUAUCAGGAGGAACACCGGUGGCGAAGGCGGCUUCCUGGACCAAUACUGACGCUGAGGCACGAAGGCGUGGGGAGCAAA
rnacentral:rRNA from 1 species